GGGGGCGUUAACCUCCGCGCCUGCGCGCUGGGAGUCUGUCGCUCUUGCUGGCAAUGGCUAUGUAGCUUCCCGGCGUCCGGAAAAGAAUGUAACCUCAUGAGGACUGACUUGUUCCCAGCCCAGCAUGAUGGCAUGUGGCGGACUGAGGACCACCAUAAGGCCAGAGCCUUCAGCACUCUCCACAAGGAUCUCACCUGCUUUGUUCUGUUGGGAUCUCAGGACGGCGGGGAUCCAGCAAGGCCUUGGGAAGGGAAAGAAUGGCUCCAGAAGGUAGCCCAACUGCACGGGAAGAAAUCACUGUUCACACCAAUCCAAUCUCAAAUGAGGGUCAGUUAAAAAUGCCAUUACCACAGAAAUUUAAAAUAGAAUUUAAAACAACAACAGAAUUGUGUCUAUAUGAAUUAAAUCUGUUAAAUGUUUCAGA